GGCUCAGGACGAACGCUGGCGGCGUGCUUAACACAUGCAAGUCGAACGAUGAUCCGGUGCUUGCACCGGGGAUUAGUGGCGAACGGGUGAGUAACACGUGAGUAACCUGCCCUUGACUCUGGGAUAAGCCUGGGAAACCGGGUCUAAUACCGGAUACGACCUGUCACCGCAUGGUGGUGGGUGGAAAGAUUUUUUGGUUUUGGAUGGACUCGCGGCCUAUCAGCUUGUUGGUGAGGUAAUGGCUCACCAAGGCGACGACGGGUAGCCGGCCUGAGAGGGUGACCGGCCACACUGGGACUGAGACACGGCCCAGACUCCUACGGGAGGCAGCAGUGGGGAAUAUUGCACAAUGGGCGAAAGCCUGAUGCAGCGACGCCGCGUGAGGGAUGACGGCCUUCGGGUUGUAAACCUCUUUCAGCAGGGAAGAA
rnacentral:rRNA from 1 species